AUCUUAAGAUUCCUAAUGUAAGGCAUGUGUGGUGGUUCGGGGUACUUAUGCAUCUAAUUACUACACACCUAUCCCACACAACCACAAACAUAAAUUCUAACACACCUAUAAACAUAAGCAUCGAUGCACCUAACCUAUUUACUUACCCACACAUCUAAUCGAUGCAUCUUGUUGGUGACCAUUCUCCUCUCAAGUAAACAGUUAAUCAUGUGUUAAUUAGACUGAUUAGGUCCAAGGGGGAUAAGAGUUAAUGUGUUAAUAAUCACCUAACCUAUACCUUGAAUCUAUACCCCCUAACCUUCUAAAUGAUCAACCCAUAACCCAUAACCAUUCUAAAGACGCAAUGUGAUUUAUUCCCAUUGCUCUACAUGUCAAAGUGAAGAAAUUCAACCAAGCGUGGGUCAACGGCGAGAGUAACUAUGACUCUCUUAUGGUAGCCAUAUGCCUCAUCAUCUAAUUAGUUACGCGCAUGAAUGGAUCAUUAACGAGAUUCCCCACUAUCCCUAGCUACUAUAUUCUAGAGAAACCACAUCCAAGGGAAUGGACUUGGUAGAAUUAGCACGGAAAGAAGACCCUGUUGAGCUUGACUCUGGUCCUAACCCAUUCAUAGUUUGGGA
rnacentral:ncRNA from 1 species